AGAGUUUGAUCCUGGCUCAGGACGAACGCUGGCGGCGCGCCUAACACAUGCAAGUCGAACGGAGCUUAGAGAGCUUGCUUUUUAAGCUUAGUGGCGAACGGGUGAGUAACGCGUGAGUAACCUGCCCUAGAGUGGGGGACAACAGUUGGAAACGACUGCUAAUACCGCAUAAGCCCACGGUGCCGCAUGACACUGAGGGAAAAGGAUUUAUUCGCUUUAGGAUGGACUCGCGUCCAAUUAGCUAGUUGGUGAGGUAACGGCCCACCAAGGCGACGAUUGGUAGCCGGACUGAGAGGUUGAACGGCCACAUUGGGACUGAGACACGGCCCAGACUCCUACGGGAGGCAGCAGUGGGGGAUAUUGCACAAUGGGGGAAACCCUGAUGCAGCGACGCCGCGUGGAGGAAGAAGGUUUUCGGAUUGUAAACUCCUGUCGCUAGGGACGAUAAUGACGGUACCUAACAAGAAAGCACCGGCUAACUACCUGCCACCAGCCGCGGUAAAAACGUAGGGUGCAAGCGUGGUCCGGAUUUACUGGGUGUAAAGGGAGCGCAGGCGGGAAGACAAGUUGGAAGUGAAAACCAUGGGCUCAACCCAUGAAUUGCUUUCAAAACUGUUUUUCUUGAGUAGUGCAGAGGUAGAUGGAAUUCCCGGUGUAGCGGUGGAAUGCGUAGAUAUCGGGAGGAACACCAGUGGCGAAGGCGGUCUACUGGGCACCAACUGACGCUGAGGCUCGAAAGCAUGGGUAGCAAACAGGAUUAGAUACCCUGGUAGUCCAUGCCGUAAACGAUGAUUACUAGGUGUUGGGGGAUUGACCCCCUCAGUGCCGCAGUUAACACAAUAAGUAAUCCACCUGGGGAGUACGACCGCAAGGUUGAAACUCAAAGGAAUUGACGGGGGCCCGCACAAGCAGUGGAGUAUGUGGUUUAAUUCGAAGCAACGCGAAGAACCUUACCAGGUCUUGACAUCCGAUGCAUAGCACAGAGAUGUGUGAAAUCCUUCGGGACAUCGAGACAGGUGGUGCAUGGUUGUCGUCAGCUCGUGUCGUGAGAUGUUGGGUUAAGUCCCGCAACGAGCGCAACCCUUAUUGCCAGUUACUACGUUAAGAGGACUCUGGCGAGACUGCCGUUGACAAAACGGAGGAAGGUGGGGAUGACGUCAAAUCAUCAUGCCCUUUAUGACCUGGGCUACACACGUACUACAAUGGCGUUAAACAAAGAGAAGCAAGACCGCGAGGUGGAGCAAAACUCAAAAACAACGUCUCAGUUCAGAUUGCAGGCUGCAACUCGCCUGCAUGAAGUCGGAAUUGCUAGUAAUCGCGGAUCAGCAUGCCGCGGUGAAUACGUUCCCGGGCCUUGCACACACCGCCCGUCA
rnacentral:rRNA from 1 species